rnacentral:sRNA from 1 species
GACAACUCCCCGUUAAAUCCCCAUAACCCCCUUUACUACCCCAUUUGUCCUGGCCCUAUCCCAUA